rnacentral:ncRNA from 1 species
GUGUUAUAUGAAAGGAGAGAAGGUUAGCACUCCCCUUGACAAGGACGGAAGAGGCCCUCAGGCCUUACAACACACAUAUGGUUAAGGCAUUGCCACCGACUUUGUGGUAUUUAACCACUGUUUUUA